rnacentral:rRNA from 1 species
UACGUAGGGGGCUAGCGUUGUCCGGAUUUAUUGGGCGUAAAGAGCGUGUAGGCGGCCAGGUAGGUCUGCUGUGAAAACUCGAGGCUCAACCUCGAGACGUCGGCGGAAACCAUCUGGCUAGAGUCCGGAAGAGGAGAGUGGAAUUCCGAGUGUAGAGGUGAAAUUCGUAGAUAUUCGGAAGAACACCAGUGGCGAAGGCGGCUCACUGGACCGUUGUUGACGCUGAGGUGCGAAAGCGUGGGGAGCAAACAGG